rnacentral:rRNA from 1 species
UACAGAGGUCCCGAGCGUUAGGCGGAAUCACUGGGCUUAAAGCGUGUGUAGGUGGAUCGUUAAGUACCUUGUGAAAUCCCACGGCUUAACCGUGGAACUGCUUGGUAUACUGGCGGUCUUGAGCCAGCUAGGGGCUACCGGAACAAAUGGUGGAGCGGUGAAAUGCGUAGAUAUCGGGAGGAACACCAGUGGCGAAGGCGACUUCCUGGCCUGUUCUUGACGCUGAGGCGCGAAAGCUAGGGGAGCAAACGGG